UACAUUAGUGUUAUUGUAAGAUUGUGAUAGUAAGAAUAUGGCAAAAAACCGACUCGCAUAUGGAUUUUCACCAGAGGAAAGUGUAGGGAGGAAACGCCUAGUGCCGAACAGGUGGUUUGAGGUGAAUUUGAUCCUCGGGUAAAUAGAGGUGGUUGGGAGUCCGUGCACCAGGUUGGGUAACACCAGGUAGGGUUUUGGGUUAGUGGGAUAUCCAUGAGUGUCACGAUCUGGUGCAGUAAGUGCAGGAACAAUAAAGUAUUAAGUUUCGGCGUGUUGUGGUGCAAAUGUUUAGUCCUUUUAGUAAUAUACGCAGUUGCAUUUAAUUUAGUCUCGGGUCAUUCGAUUAUUAUACUGUUCCAUUUAUCCGUGUGUCAGAAAGCUUUAGAUUUGUCAUGAAGAAUGACCUUAACACAGCAGGUGAAGGAUAUUUCUUUAAGGCUGAUUUAUAACUGAUAACUUUGUUGCAGCAGUGUAUACAACAACGAAGUCAUACCGGCCGCCCCCUAAACAUGGGACAAACAAGUCUCGGGGCUUCGUGCAAGAGAUGGAACACGUCUCGGCGCAUGUCUGGCACCGACGUCCCUACAUCUGCGCACUUCCAACUUGGUAGAAUCACAUCGGUUCCACCCGAGGAACUCCUUAGCCACACCGGUUGUCUAGAGAUCUGUACGCGCCCAAGCGUCUGAGAAGCCUCGGUAUCCUCAUCCGUGUCCAUGUGAUAGCAGUCCAUCUCCAGGUCGUCCGUCCUCUUCAGAAGAGGACGCACGCCGCGGAGGCGUGUGGUCCGGCACAGGCCGUUUUAACUCCUUCAUUGGAGGCGUCCUGCCACUACUUAAGGGAGAACCAAACCAUCGGCAUCGUGUCGUAACCUGCGGCAGGAAACUGGCUCCUCUAUCACUGGAGGACUCAGAUUCUCGCUGCAUCUUCCACGGAGGAACUGGACCCUGCCUGGCACCAGCUCUAACCUGACAACGUGGUGCUGGAGGGAAGAACGACUACCUCGCAUUAUCCAAACCAGCGUGUCGUAACAACCUGCGGCAGGAAACUGGCUCCUCUAUCACUGGAGGACUCAGGUUCUCGCUGCAUCUUCCACGGAGGAACUGGACCCUGCCUGGCACCAGCUCUAACCUAACAACGUGGUGCUGGAGGGAACAACUACCUCGCUUUAUCUAACCUAACCAAUACAUGUUGCCAUCACUCUUGUAAUAGUAUCACUUCUAUCUGAUGUGUAUGUAUCCACCACAAGUGUAAUACUAUUCCUUACUUUAUCUAAUCAAACCAAUACAUGUUGCUAAUCA